UACGGGGGGGGCAAGCGUUGUUCGGAAUUACUGGGCGUAAAGGGCUCGUAGGUGGCCAACUAAGUCAGACGUGAAAUCCCUCGGCUUAACCUGGGAACUGCAUCCGAUACUGGAUGGCUUGAAUUCGGGAGAGGGAUGCAGAAUUCCAGGUGUAGCGGUGAAAUGCGUAGAUAUCUGGAGGAACACCGGUGGCGAAGGCGGCAUCCUGGACCAAUAUUGACGCUGAGGAGCGAAAGCCAGGGGAGCAAACGGG
rnacentral:rRNA from 1 species